rnacentral:piRNA from 1 species
UAAAGGUCCUCGUACCACAGGAUGUAUGGG